UCGGGAAUUUUGGGCGAAUGGGCGAAAGCCUGACCCAGCAACGCCGCGUGAAGGAUGAAGUAUUUCGGUAUGUAAACUUCGUAAGAAUAGGAAGAAUAAAUGACGGUACUAUUUGUAAGGUCCGGCUAACUACGUGCCAGCAGCCGCGGUAAUACGUAGGGACCAAGCGUUGUUCGGAUUUACUGGGCGUAAAGGGCGCGUAGGCGGUGUGUCAAGUCAGUUGUGAAAUCUCCGAGCUUAACUCGGAACGGUCAACUGAUACUGUCACACUAGAGUACAGAAGGGGCAAUCGGAAUUCUUGGUGUAGCGGUGAAAUGCGUAGAUAUCAAGAGGAACACCUGAGGCGAAGGCGGGUUGCUGGGCUGAUACUGACGCUGAGGCGCGAAAGCUAGGGUAGCAAACGGGAUUAGAUACCCGUGUAGUCCCUGAGCGGGCUGGCAAGGCGCAU
rnacentral:rRNA from 1 species